GCUGCCCGCGACAUUGCGAGAAGUCCACUKGAACCUUAUCAUUUAGAGGAARGGAGAAGUCGUAACMAGGUUUCCGUAGGUGAACCUGCGGAAGGAUCAUUGUCGAAACCUGCAAAGCAGAACGACCCGUGAACACGUUAUUACCCUAACUCGGCAAUGUGUGGGCCUCGUCCCAAAACAUUCUCGAACAUAACUAAUCAUCGAGCGCGGUAUGCGCCAAGGAAAAUGUAAAGAACAUAACCGCCCUGUUGUGACCUCGAAACGUUGGUCGCCUCGGGGAUGCGUUUGUUCCAUAAGUCAAAACGACUCUCGGCAACGGAUAUCUCGGCUCUCGCAUCGAUGAAGAACGUAGCGAAAUGCGAUACGUGGUGUGAAUUGCAGAAUUCCGUGAAUCAUCGAGUUUUUGAACGCAAGUUGCGCCCGAAGCCAUUCGGCCGAGGGCACGCCUGCCUGGGCGUCACGCAUCGUUGCCCCCUCCUCAAGCCCAUCGCUCACGAAAUGGGCGACAAGCUUGUUGGGCGGGGGCGUACAUUGGCUUCCCGUUUGCUUGUCUUCCGGUUGGCCUAAAAUUGAAUUCCUUAGCUGCGAUCGCCGUGGCAAAUGGUGGUAUUCGAACAAAUCGUAACCCGCCACGCGCGUUUGUCAGCCUAACGGUCUGUAUAAACCCAAAUGUGUAACCCUCUUAGGGCAGCGCUUCCAACGCGACCCCMGGUCAGGCGGGAUUACCCCGCUGAAUUUAAGCCAUAUCAAAUUAAGCGGGAGGGAAAAAAAAACUUU
rnacentral:rRNA from 1 species